CUUUUUUCCAAGGUGUGAAAUCCAGAACAGACUGUUCAGGGUGACCAGAGGCUUGUGGGAAGAUGCCUCGGGGCAUGAGCCUUCCUGACUCAGCGCUCUUCCACUCCAGUUUUUGGACAGAAGUGGACCUAACCCAGAUUGCCCUGAACACCUGCCCCUGUUGCUGAAUCAGAGAUGUGGGCUCUGGCUGGCGGAGGACCAAGACUUUACUGUGGGGCUCGAGCCCAGUUAAAGAAACACUAUCCAGGAGAUUCUAUCAUGGGACUUGAGGCUGGAGGACAAAGCGGGAAGAGGAAGGCCUGGUCCAAGUGAGGGGCAUGGGUUUUGAGUCCACAGAAAAGAGGGGGAAUAUGCUUUGGUUGAAACCAAAAAAGCUCAGAGGGAAGAUACAAAAUAGGACUCCUGAGCAAGUUUAGAUUUCUGUUUUCUCUCCCUCUCCUAGCGCUCCUCUCAUAAGCUGGGUAGAGGAGAAGCAAAGCCAGGAAAUGAGUCCCUGGAUAAGGCAGGCUUCGGGCAGGCCAGCGCCCAGUGCCUGCACUGCAAUCUUAAAAGUGACCUGGAGCAAGAUCUGACCAAGUGGAGCUCCCACCCUUAGCUGGUGAGCCCAGUGCCUCCUGUGUGGGGCGGUCUGGGCUGCCCAGCUACGGGCUUCACAGACAUCCCCAGAAAUGCACCUGGGGAGACCCAGCUCCCAGGGGAGCUCCUUGAAGGCAGGGUGGCGUCUUCUCUCCCUGCUUCCUGUGGCACAUCCUGAGCUUUGGGUGCUCAACAGAGGGUGUGGAGGAAGAUGCUGUGAGGAUGACUCUGGAGCAGUUACCAGGACAGAAGACUCCAGGGAAGACAAGUAGGGGGCCAAGACCUAGGAGAAGCCUUUCACAAACCGCAGGUCCAAGUGGGAGGUGCCAGGCCCCAAGCAGUCAACACUUUUGUUAUUGUUAGGGGUAACCCUGGCUUUAAGCCAAACCACGAUAUGUAACGUAUGAAAACACCACAUAAAAUUAUUACUCAAAUUUCAGCUGUUCCCAGACAGCUUCUGGGAACACAUCUAUUGCACGGAGUCAAUUGUAUUGUGUGAAAUGUGUGGAUGGCAGGUUAUUGAACUCC
rnacentral:lncRNA from 1 species